rnacentral:RNase_MRP_RNA from 2 species
CCCUCGUCCGACAAAUCGCCAUCGAAGCUUACAAACAGAGACGUCCUUCUUUGAAAGGCGUCUCGGUCCUUUUGGACCAAGAACCAAGCUUUGGGAGAAAGUCCCCGGACACACGUUGUUCUACCCUCGGGUGGAAUAGAAACGCCGCGGAAACGCGCCGCCAUAGAAGCACAGCGGCUGACCUCCAAGACCUGCGUCCGGACACAAUGGCCUCUCUUCUCGCCCCGCCUCGUCGCUACAUCGUUGGUUGUUGGCUCUGCUCGAACCCCUAGUUUUUUGAUCUUGGGACCCUUUGGACGAAGAUAUGAGUCCGCGCCUGGGAUCGGGAGACUUGGUGUUUGGGUAGUGCUGGUGCCAUUGAUGACAGGAUGGCCGCGAGGGAGAGGCUGCUUGCCGGGCGAACUCAAGGGUUCGUCGGAGGAGUUUUUCGUCUAGAUCGAUAGGUAUGCGAUUGCCCGUCCUCCCGGUUCGCCGGGUUGGGCGUGUUACUCGAUGGGGCUUAUUCUUGGUGCGAGG